GUAGGUGGCAAGCGUUGUCCGGGAAUUAUUGGGGCGUAAAGCGCGCGCAGGCGGUUCUUCAAGUCUGAUGUGAAAGCCCACGGGCUCAACCGUGGAGGGUCAUUGGAAACUGGAGAACUUGAGUACAGAAGAGGAAAGCGGAAUUCCACGUGUAGCGGUGAAAUGCGUAGAGAUGUGGAGGAACACCAGUGGCGAAGGCGGCUUUCUGGUCUGUAACUGACGCUGAGGCGCGAAAGCGUGGGGAGCAAACAGGAUUAGAUACCCUGGUAGUCCACGCCGUAAACGAUGAGUGCUAAGUGUUAGGGGGUUUCCGCCCCUUAGUGCUGCAGCUAACGCAUUAAGCACUCCGCCUGGGGAGUACGGCCGCAAAGGCUG
rnacentral:rRNA from 1 species